GAAAGAACGCUUACAGAAAGAAAAAGAAGAAAAUGAAAAAAAUGAAGCUGAAGAAAAAGCUUCUAGAGAGAAAGGAAAAGUUGAAGAGGAAGCUCAGCAAGAAAAAGGAGGAGCCAUGGAGAAAGCUAAUGUAGGAGACAAUCCUGCAGAAAGUGUUGAUAAUGAUAAAAUUGGUGUUUUGGAUGAUUCUUCUUUGGAUCAGGUCAUUCCUCUACUUUUGAUGCUCAACUUUUGCCAACUAUAUGAAUUUGUGCAUGCAUAAUCUCUUUAGAUUUAUGGCUGUUAUGUAGUUAAGGUUUUUAAGUAUUUGUAGCUUUUAUUAUGUUCUGAUAGCAUGGGUUCAAAAAGUCAAAUUUUGAAUAUUUUAACUAAUUAGAGACAAAGCUUCUAUUCAUACUCCAACAAAAAAGUUAUUAUGGAACUCAUAUAGAUGGUUUGAUUGGGUAAAUAUCUGCAAUGCACUAACUGUUAUGGAUGAUUUAAGCUUUUGUUCAAUGUUUAUGACCCUAUUGCAAAAU
rnacentral:misc_RNA from 1 species